rnacentral:rRNA from 1 species
UACGAAGGGGGCUAGCGUUGUUCGGAUUUACUGGGCGUAAAGCGCACGUAGGCGGUUUGUUAAGUCAGGGGUGAAAUCCCGGAGCUCAACUCCGGAACUGCCUUUGAUACUGGCAAGCUAGAGUCCGGAAGAGGUAAGUGGAACUCCUAGUGUAGAGGUGGAAUUCGUAGAUAUUAGGAAAAACACCAGUGGCGAAGGCGGCUUACUGGUCCGGAACUGACGCUGAGGUGCGAAAGCGUGGGGAGCAAACAGG